GCUUACGGCCAUACCAGCCUGGGAUCUCGUCUGAUCUCGGAAGCUAAGCAGGGUCGGGCCUGGUUAGUACUUGGAUGGGAGACCGCCUGGGAAUACCAGGUGCUGUAAGCA
rnacentral:rRNA from 1 species